AGCGCAGGCGGGAGAACAAGUUGGAAGUGAAAUCUAUGGGCUCAACCCAUAAACUGCUUUCAAAACUGUUUUUCUUGAGUAGUGCAGAGGUAGGCGGAAUUCCCGGUGUAGCGGUGGAAUGCGUAGAUAUCGGGAGGAACACCAGUGGCGAAGGCGGUCUACUGGGCACCAACUGACGCUGAGGCUCGAAAGCAUGGGUAGCAAACA
rnacentral:rRNA from 1 species